UCCCCCGUGGAGGCCACGGAAGCCAUGCGAGAGGUCGCAGGCUCUCCCCAUCUACCUCCUCUGGCUGCAUUUGCCCCUGGAGAUGGCCCCUCCUCCCUCUCUGCUGCCACAGGGGAAGAAACCAACCCUUCUGUUUGGAGGCCCCUGA